rnacentral:miRNA from 1 species
AUAAAAUUUAUAUAUAUGUUUGGUACAAAAGUAAUUGUGGGUUUUGCCAUAAAAGUAAUGACAAAAACCACAAUUACUUUUGCAGCCACGUAAUAUA